rnacentral:rRNA from 1 species
AUACGUAGGUGGCGAGCGUUAUCCGGAAUUACUGGGUGUAAAGGGCGCGUAGGCGGGGAUGCAAGUCAGAUGUGAAAUACCGGUGCUUAACACCGGGGCUGCAUCUGAAACUGUGUUUCUUGAGUGUCGGAGAGGGAAGCGGAAUUCCCAGUGUAGCGGUGAAAUGCGUAGAUAUUGGGAGGAACACCAGUGGCGAAGGCGGCUUUCUGGACGACAACUGACGCUGAGGCGCGAAAGCGUGGGGAGCAAACAGGAUUAGAUACCCUGGUAGUCCACGCCGUAAACGAUGGAUACUAGGUGUAGGAGGUAUCGACCCCUUCUGUGCCGGAGUUAACACAAUAAGUAUCCCACCUGGGGAGUACGGCCGCAAGGUUGAA